GUGCAAUUAUUAUUAUCAGCAUCUAGAAAGCAUCACACGGAGCAUUGACCUUCAUGCUGCAUUGUUCUUACUGGAUCCUCCUAUCCGUGAACAUUAUGCCAAGUACCAAUACAGCAUCAAGUCAUUUCUGGAUGGAAAGUUUUCAAACUUCUUCAUUUGGAGUUACUUAAACGUGAGGGUGUUGGGAUUUUUGAGGAUGCCUUCCCUAUGUGGAUUAUUACAGUUUGAUGACUGAUUCUCUGCCUCAAAGAAGAGUUUGGAAGUUGGAUGAAGAGGCAGAGAACAGGGCCAUUACGUGACCCAGCCUAUGCCCCUUGUGCCAGAGAUGGAAUGAGAAUAAACAGAAUUGAGGUGGCCCCCACUCCUACGGACACAGCUCUUUCACCUAUACGGUUUUCUUCUGUAUUUCCUGAUAUAAGUCUCCCCCUGACCCCACUGGAAUGCAUGGAUUUGCAUUUGUUCUUCCAGGAGUGUCUAACUGGAUGUCCUCUGCAAAUUCAUCAAAUGUGCCAUCUUUUCCAUCAUGUGGUCAUCCCUGGGAUCAUCAUCGAACAUCGUUCUCCACCACUCUGGUCCAUGGAUGGUUGUUCUCUUUUGUCCAUUCCAUCAAAUGUCCUGAACACUGUCAGAAGAGGGAAAAGGCUAAUGCUCCAGGGCUGCAUCGCUGUGGGCACAGCAAGCUUCCCCGGUUACCUGAGCUGCUCCUGCGGCGUCCCCCGCCUGGGCUUGGCCGAAGCGGGAGCGGCGGUCGGCGCCGUGCAGAAGAAGCACCUGCUCUGGAGCUCUGACCGGGGCCCCUCGCAGCUGGAAGAGAGGGUGAAGCUGCAGAAGACCCAGGGUGGGACGGAUAGAGAGGACGCCAAGGACCGGGGCCGGGGAGUUAGGAAUACAUCCUGUGCCCGGCGGUCCUCUGCAGGGCAAGGGCAGCAACAGCCCCUGCCGUAG
rnacentral:lncRNA from 1 species